GACGAACGCUGGCGGCGUGCCUAAUACAUGCAAGUAGAACGCACAGUUGAUACCGUAGCUUGCUUCACCAUAGACUCUGAGUUGCGAACGAGUGAGUAACGCGUAGGUAACCUGCCUGGUAGCGGGUGAGAACUAUGGGACUCGAUAGCUAAUACCUCAUAAUAUUAAUUAUUCCAUAGUAAUUAAUUGAAAGGUUCAAUUUCACCACUACAACAUCGACCCACGUUGUAUUAGCUAGUAUGAGAGGUAACCGCUUACCCAGGCGACGAUACAUAGGCGACCUGAGAGGGUGAUCGGCCACACUGGGACUGGGACACGGGCCCGACUCCUACGGGAGGGAGCAGUAGGGGAUUCUCGGCAAUGGAGGAAAGUCUGAACGGGCAAAGGCGGGUGAGUGGAGGAGAUUCUCGGAACGUAAAGACCUGUUGUAAGGGGAGAACGAGAGGGGGAGUGGAAAGUGCACACUGUGACGGUACCUUAUCAGAAAGCGACGGCUAACUACGUG
rnacentral:rRNA from 1 species